AUUGCCUCAGUAACGGCGAGUGAAGCGGCAACAGCUCAAAUUUGAAAUCUGGCCCCAGGCCCGAGUUGUAAUUUGCAGAGGAUGCUUUUGGUGAGGUGCCUUCCGAGUUCCCUGGAACGGGACGCCAUAGAGGGUGAGAGCCCCGUCUGGUCGGACACCGAGCCUCUGUAAAGCUCCUUCGACGAGUCGAGUAGUUUGGGAAUGCUGCUCUAAAUGGGAGGUAUAUGUCUUCUAAAGCUAAAUAUUGGCCAGAGACCGAUAGCGCACAAGUAGAGUGAUCGAAAGAUGAAAAGCACUUUGAAAAGAGAGUUAAAUAGCACGUGAAAUUGUUGAAAGGGAAGCGUUUAUGACCAGACUUGGCCCGGUUGAUCAUCCAGCGUUCUCGCUGGUGCACUCUGCCGGUCCAGGCCAGCAUCAGUUCGUCGCGGGGGAUAAAGGUUUCGGGAAUGUGGCUCCUCCGGGAGUGUUAUAGCCCGUUGCGUAAUACCCUGCGGUGGACUGAGGUCCGCGCUUCGGCAAGGAUGCUGGCGUAAUGGUCAUCAACGACCCGUCUUGAAACACGGACCAAGGAGUCGUCCUCGUAUGCGAGUGUUCGGGUGUAAAACCCCUACGCGUAAUGAAAGUGAACGCAGGUGAGAGCUUCGGCGCAUCAUCGACCGAUCCUGAUGUUCUCGGAUGGAUUUGAGUAAGAGCAUACGGGGCCGGACCCGAAAGAAGGUGAACUAUGCCUGUAUAGGGUGAAGCCAGAGGAAACUCUGGUGGAGGCUCGCAGCGGUUCUGACGUGCAAAUCGAUCGUCAAAUAUGGGCAUGGGGGCGAAAGACUAAU
rnacentral:rRNA from 1 species